rnacentral:lncRNA from 1 species
UCCGCAAAAUUAACAACAUGCAGUAUAUGAUCCAUGACUUUAACUAUGCUAUUACUAUCUAGUAAUGAUUUACUCAAAAUGUAUAAUACAUGUACUGGUGUUAAAAAAGAUGAGCGAAGAUCCCAGAGGGACAUUAAUGCAAACUCAUAGAUCGAAAAUUAUCUGACAGCGCCAUGUCUAAAAAAGAAAAAGACACACAAACAA